UACGUAGGGUCCGAGCGUUGUCCGGAAUUAUUGGGCGUAAAGGCUCGUAGGCGGUUCGUCACGUCGGGAGUGAAACUCGGGCUUAACCCGAGCCUGCUUCCGAUACGGCAGACUAGAGGUAGGCAGGAGAGCGGAACUCCUGGUGUAGCGUGAAUGCGCAGAUAUCAGAGAACACGUGCGAGCGCUCUCUGCUACUGACGCUGAGAGCGAAGCGUGGGAGCGAACAG
rnacentral:rRNA from 1 species